rnacentral:rRNA from 1 species
GGUGGAGCGAUUUGUCUGGUUUAUUCCGAUAACGAACGAGACUCUGGCCUACUAACUAGUGACAGAAUUAUUGCUGUUCUGGUUACUUCUUAGAGGGACAAGUGGUGUUCAGCCACACGAAAUUGAGCAAUAACAGGUCUGUGAUGCCCUUAGAUGUCCGGGGCUGCACGCGUGCUACACUGGAGGAAACAGCAUGCAAAACCAUUGCCGAGAGGCAUUGGUAAACCCGAGAAAAUCUUCCGUGAUCGGGAUCGGGAAUUGCAAUUAUUUCCCUUGAACGAGGAAUUCCCAGUAAGUGUGGGUCAUCAGCUCGCGCUGAAUACGUCCCUGCCCUUUGUAC